AGCUCGAGUUUUCCUUCAUCUACGCAUAAAUCUUUCGCCUUUUACUAAAAGAUUUCCGUGGAGGGAAACCUUUGCGAGUUUGUCGUAUUUUUUGGGUGCUUUGCUUACAGCAGAGCA